rnacentral:lncRNA from 1 species
UGAGGGGGCCUGUGGCCCCAGCGUGCUGUGGCCUCCGGGAGUGGGAAGUGGAGGCAGGAGCCUUCCUUACACUUCGCCAUGAGUUUCCUGAUCGACUCCAGCAUCAUGAUUACCUCCCAGAUACUAUUUUUUGGAUUUGGGUGGCUUUUCUUCAUGCGCCAAUUGUUUAAAGACUAUGAGGACGGGAGGCCAAGGGGCUGGGAUGGCAGGUGCCAUGAACAGCGAGCUCCCAGAGUUGGCCAAAAGCACAGCGGAGGUGCAAAUCCAGCUGCUGGAGGAGCAAUGACAGCAUUCAAGCGAUCGUGGAAAUUAGCUCCCAAUGGAAAAUAGGAGGCCAGAGGGACAGAUAGGUCCCCACCCCUCCUCCUCUUCACAGACAUCCCCAAGGUACCAUCUCCCUUUGCGAAUCUUCCAGAGAAGGCCCGUGUGCUGAGCAAACACACCUGUUGGCUUCUUCACGGCUCUUUCUCAUGCCUGCUAGUUUCUUUGCGGCUCUUUGUGGAAGACGGAAGAGCAAGGUCACGCACCCCAGCACCAGCUCUGUACUUUCUCUUGCCUGGCCUCCAUCUACCCCUCACUCACCACCUUGGGCUUGCACCUUCCAAAUCCAGGAUCCGCAUUCGAACCCUUGCUUCAGGCUCUGCUUUCCAGGUGAUGCAAAGACUCAUGUAAAUGGUUUGAUGGAUGUUGCAGAGACAAAUGCAAGUGCUCAGCCAGGUCUCCAGCUCAAGAAACAUCUCAGGAAGGAGUGAAAAGAGGUCACUGUGAGAGCAAAUCCAGCUGGUGGUUAUGAGAAUGUGGAAUGUGGGGGUGAUGGAGCUCCGCUUCUACUGACUCUUCAGAAGGUUCCCAGGAAUCCACGGAGUCCCAGAGUCUUUAGGAAAAGAAGGAUCUUGUGAGGUCAUGUUGUCCAGUUCUCAUCUGACAGAAAGAAUCCAUUCCACCAUCCUAGAAACCCAAAUACUCAUCAUGAUCAAAAGCACUCCUGAAACCCAGGCGUCUCCACCCUACGGCAUCUUUCUUUCUGUUGUGCUUGAAGUUCUCCCCACUGUCCUCCUGACUCAGUCCCUCCUCAUACGUUAAAGCCAUGGUCACCGGCCUGUCCUUGGUUUCCAUUACCUGGCACACUAUGGCAAAGCCACUGCUCGUGGCCACCAGACAGGUCGAGGCAGGCACUGGGGCCAAUCCCAUUCCUUGCUAUGCCUGAUGCCCUUCCGUGCCUGAUGCCCCUCUGUCAUCUCUUUGUUUGCACAGCUGUGACCUGCAUUGUCUCCACUAACGACAGCGUCCUUAACCCGGACAGUGACCCAGCAAGUGGCAGCCCACGCUCGCCGGCCGGGUCCAAGUUUUAAGUAAAGAAGCCAUUUGUUCCCAGGCUCAUUUUUAUCAAGGCUCGUCUGUCUUUCCAAAUUAGGGCUGAGUCAUUUAUAAAGCAUGUGAGUGUUUGGAUGUUAGCAGCAAACAUUCAUCCAUUUUAGAAUAAAUGAUUAAAAGGCACUCAUUAAAUUCCUCUGUUGACUGAUGCCAAGGCCCCGAGAACGGAUUGGCCUGUUGGCUUCUGGCUGGCCUGACUGCCAUCCCACCUACUGAGAACUCUCGUAGACUCUGGAGAGAAAAUUCCUGCUCGAGGGGACACCCUGAUGGAAGAUAACAGGAAGGAUGGCACUCAGGCCUGUUCCCCCAAUAUUACAGCACAGUUAUCUACCUUCAGAGUGGCCGCACCCAACAGACUCUUGGUGAGUGGGAGGACAACCCCUUCUCCCCUCCAAAGAUCUAGGGACAAUGUGUGCCAUUCCUUCCCAUGGGCAUGGGGAAUGUUUAACUCAAAAGUCAAGGGAAUAAUUCCAUAAUGACUGAAAACUAAGUAUUUCCAGUCCUGAUAAGAAUGGCGCUCUGUGCCCACUCCAGGAAUACAAGAAUUGGCAAGACUCUCCUGUGGCCCCUGCCCUGGAAGGUAGAAGGUAAAAGAUCAUACACAGACAGGUAAACCAACUCCCGAACAGAACUGGGAGCCUCGGACCACAGGCUCUGACCCUUUGCUGGCCAGCAGGUGCAGAGGGAAGGAGCUUCUGCUGUCCUUGCCCCCAGCAAAUGUCCAUCCUCACCACAAGGGAACAAACCAUGCCCAAUGCCUCGUUGGGGGCACUGGCGCCCCUUGAAUGUAUCCUCUCUAGGAUCCUUGGCCCCACCCACCUGUUUGCCAUCUCCAAAGGUCCUUUCUUAAUGUCUUUAAUUUGGAUGGCUCUGACAGCUCCCCACGGCUGGCCUGAGAAAAUCGCACACUCCUCUGCAUGCCAUUUAUCAGGUCACAGCGUGAGUUUCCCGGGCCCUCCUUCCACUAAAAAAACAUUAAAACAUAUAUAUUACAAUGGCAUUGGUAAACAGGAACCUAUUGAUUUAUAUACUGAAAACAUUUUUCCUCAACCUAAAAGUUCAUGUAUUUCGUUUUGAUUUUAAAAGCAAUUAAAACAUUUCGUGAGUCCUGAAAUCACUGUGGGCCCGAGGCACUGAGCCACCAUACCCGAUACUGAAGGGGGUCUAGGUCAGUCCUCUCUGCAGCCGUCCAGCCGCAGGUUCCCCCUGGGAGCUGCCCUUCCAGGCCUCCCUGCCUGUGCUGCUGCUGCUGCUGCUGCUGCUGCUCCUGCUCCUGCUCCUGCUCCUGCUCCUGCACCCUCAAUGCUGCCUCAUCCUUCUCUGCCACGAAACGUCCUACAAAGGUGUUAAGCCCUGGACCUAGUGUGAUGCUCCCAGGCCCUGGAGGCAGCAUCUGUGCAUCUUCUUUGCCCUCUGCCACCACUCUGACCCCCUGCAAGCCCAGACAGACAACGGUGUCUUCCUGACCAGGUGACAGGAUCCUGCAUUCAUCCCACAAACGCCUCCUGGGCACUGCCUGUGGGGAUGCAGGAAGGAUCUAAUAAAUGGCCUG